CUGCUGCCUCCCGUAGGAGUUUGGUCCGUGUCUCAGUACCAAUGUGGGGGACCUUCCUCUCAGAACCCCUAUCCAUCGUCGGUUUGGUGGGCCGUUACCCCGCCAACUGCCUAAUGGAACGCAUGCCUAUCUAUCAGCGAUGAAUCUUUAGCAAAUAUCCCCAUGCGGGGCCCCUGCUUCAUGCGGUAUUAGUCCGACUUUCGCCGGGUUAGUCCCCCUCCUGAUAGGCAAGUUGCAUACGCGUUACUCACCCGUGCGCCGG
rnacentral:rRNA from 1 species